AUUAGAUACCCUGGUAGUCCACGCCGUAAACGAUGAUUACUAGGUGUAGGUGGGUAUGGACCCAUCGGUGCCGCAGCCAACGCAGUAAGUAAUCCACCUGGGGAGUACGUUCGCAAGAAUGAAACUCAAAGGAAUUGACGGGGACCCGCACAAGCGGUGGAGCAUGUGGUUUAAUCCGAAGCAACGCGAAGAACCUUACCAAGUCUUGACAUCUGGAUGACGAAUCCGUAACGGGAUUUUCUCUUCGGAGCAUCCAAGACAGGUGGUGCAUGGUUGUCGUCAGCUCGUGUCGUGAGAUGUUGGGUUAAGUCCCGCAACGAGCGCAACCCUUAUCCCCAGUAGCCAGCGGUUAAAGCCGGGCACUCUGAGGAGACUGCCAGGGACAACCUGGAGGAAGGCGGGGAUGACGUCAAAUCAUCAUGCCCCUUAUGAUUUGGGCUACACACGUGCUACAAUGGCGUAAACAAAGGGAAGCGAAAUGGUGACAUGGAGCGAACCCCAAAAAUAACGUCCCAGUUCGGAUUGUAGUCUGCAACCCGACUACAUGAAGCUGGAAUCGCUAGUAAUCGCGGAUCAGAAUGCCGCGGUGAAUACGUUCCCGGGUCUUGUACACACCGCCCGUCACACCAUGGGAGUCAGUAACGCCCGAAGUCAGUGACCCAACCGGAAGGAGGGAGCUGCCGAAGGCGGGACGGAUAACUGGGGUGAAGUCGUAACA
rnacentral:rRNA from 1 species